GACGAACGCUGGCGGCGUGCUUAACACAUGCAAGUCGAACGGGAUUUAGUAAACAGAAGCCUCGGUGGAAGAUUACUAAUGAGAGUGGCGAACGGGUGAGUAACGCGUGAGCAACCUGCCUAUGACAGUGGGAUAGCCUCGGGAAACCGGGAUUAAUACCGCAUAAAAUCGUAGAAACACAUGUUUUAACGGUCAAAGAUUUAUCGGUCAUAGAUGGGCUCGCGUCUGAUUAGCUAGUUGGUGAGAUAACAGCCCACCAAGGCGACGAUCAGUAGCCGGUCUGAGAGGAUGAACGGCCACAUUGGAACUGAGACACGGUCCAAACUCCUACGGGAGGCAGCAGUGGGGAAUAUUGCACAAUGGGGGAAACCCUGAUGCAGCGACGCCGCGUGAACGAAGAAGGUAUUCGUAUCGUAAAGUUCUGUCCUAUGGGAAGAUAAUGACAGUACCAUAGAAGAAAGCUCCGGCUAAAUACGUGCCAGCAGCCGCGGUAAUACGUAUGGAGCGAGCGUUGUCCGGAAUUAUUGGGCGUAAAGGGUACGCAGGCGGUUUAAUAAGUCGAAUGUUAAAGAUCGGGGCUCAACCCCGUAAAGCAUUGGAAACUGAUAAACUUGAGUAGUGGAGAGGAAAGUGGAAUUCCUAGUGUAGUGGUGAAAUACGUAGAUAUUAGGAGGAAUACCAGUAGCGAAGGCGACUUUCUGGACACAAACUGACGCUGAGGUACGAAAGCGUGGGGAGCAAACAGG
rnacentral:rRNA from 1 species